CCUACGGGUGGCAGCAGUGAGGAAUAUUGGUCAAUGGGCGGAAGCCUGAACCAGCCAAGCCGCGUGAGGGAAGAAGGUGCAGCGUAUCGUAGACCUCUUUUGUCGGGGAACAAAGGCCGGUACUUGUCCCCUCCUGAGGGUACCUGACGAAAAAGCAUCGGCUAACUCCGUGCCAGCAGCCGCGGUAAUACGGAGGAUGCGAGCGUUAUCCGGAUUUAUUGGGUUUAAAGGGUGCGCGGGGGGACUGUUAAGCCGGCGGUAAAAGCCCGGGCCUCAACCCCGACGAGCCGUUGAAACUGGCGGGCUGGAGUGGGGGAGAGGGAGGCGGAAUGCGCGGUGUAGCGGUGAAAUGCGUAGAUAUCGAGCAGAACCCCGAUUGCGAAGGCAGCGUGCCGGAUCAAAACUGACGCUGAGGCACGAAAGCGGGGGGAUCGAACAGGAUUAGAUACCCGAGUAGUC
rnacentral:rRNA from 1 species